rnacentral:sRNA from 1 species
GGAUGUGUGGUCAGUCUGUGCUGCCUGUCUCCUUCUUGGUGACCAGGAUUAAUGUGGACCAUCUGGCAAACCAGACAAGGGGCUCUUUUCUCCCUCACUGUCUCACAUGCGUCCCUUCCAAAGCUCUGUGUUCAGUAAGAGAAUGACCUUUCCAGAGGGCUGGAGGAUUAUCUUUAAGUCUAGAAUAUUCUGAAGAGUAGAAAGAAAUUUUUUUAAUCAUCUAUAAUUUCAUGACUCAUAUUUUGAGAAGUUUGU